rnacentral:rRNA from 1 species
CCCUUAGAUGUUCUGGGCUGCACGCGCGCUACACUGAAGCGUUCAACGAGUAUUUCACCUUGCCCGGGAGGGUUGGGUAAUCUUUUUAAAACGCUUCGUGAUGGGGAUAGAUUAUUGCAAUUAUUAAUCUUCAACGAGGAAUUCCUAGUAAGCGCGAGUCAUCAGCUUGCGCUGAUUACGUCCCUGCCCUUUGUACACACCGCCCGUCGCUACUACCGAUUGAAUGGUUUAGUGAGAUCUCUGGAUUGACGCUGGCUAGGGGGCGACCCUUGGCCAGACUGUUGAGAAACUGCUCAAACUUGAUCAUUUAGAGGAAGUAAAAGUCGUAACA